CAAAGGCUGGGUGACUAUGUAGACUUGAAAUAUUUACCCAUACGGCUUUGCGCUAUGGAAUGAGCCCCCGAGAGCGCAAUCUGUCCAUUCCGGCAACCGCCUUUAUGGUACGUGGCUAAUGGUUGUUAGUGAGCGUCAUCAAGUUUAAAAAAUUGAGUUUGGUAUAUUCUUCUUCAUUGUUUGAAGCAUUUUUAGAUCUGUACUAUUUAUUAACUGGAAAUUUGUUCACUGAAAUCGAUUAUUCUUGUGUAAGCGGCAGUUUGCGCUUUGACUGGGAGGUCUUGGGCAAAUUGCCCAUUUAUCCAGACGCUGUUCAUUGUGCAGUAGGAAAACCAAAGUUGUUCGACUUCACUUGAGGUAC